rnacentral:lncRNA from 1 species
GAUGAAACCCUGAUAUUAUUCAACAGAAAAAUGUACAAGAAACAGAUGAGUAUUCGAGAGACUCAUCACUCUCCUAAUUCCCAAUUCCCAAAUGAUCCCAAAGAUACUAAACCCUCUUUACACUCCCUUAUUUAUAGGCUAAGCCUUAACAAACUAACUAACUCUAUGGUAACUAACUAACUGACUCCAACUUCCAAGUACUCAUCAA